AGAUAUGGAAACAGGUCGCUUCGAUGGUACAGUUGACCGAUGGCCAAUGCGUCAACGAUGUGCCUUUGUCAUACUUUUCCGCUCGGCUUUAAGAGGUAGUUUAUGUCAUCCACUGCGGGCACACGCCUUAUCGUUUUCCACACCACAAACAUGACUUGGGAUCCAUAAGAAAUUUACUCGGCAGUGACUAGUGGCUAAAACGUGUCCAAGAUUUUGAAUUCUUUGGACAAAUGGGUCAGAGGAGAACAACAGACCUUCCAGAGCACUACGGGAGUCACUACCAAACGUUUAUUAUGGAUCCGGGAACUGAGCUCACUUCUGUGGAUGACAUCUAAUUUACAUUAAGAGGAUUUCGACCGCGCACCGAUGGAUUUCGACGAGGGUGUUGAUGGCCUCAUCGCUAAAUAUGGAGACCGAUGCCGCAUCCCACUUGACCAAUCCGCCCUUUUCUGAACUUGCCGUCAGGU